CAAGAAUCUGCAUCAUAUUGUUUGCUUUCAUUCUUACUGUUAUUGUAGACUCUGCUGGCUUUCUGCUUUGGGGAUGACAAGGAAAUAUGAGUAUUUGUGAGCAGGCUGCAGUGCUGUCCUUCAUCAUUUUUCAAAAUACAUUUUCAUUUCACAUGUUACCUCCAUCCUGUGUGGUCUUCAUGUUCUGUAAGACAACUUGAAAUGCUGAAAAAGGAGUGAUCUUGUUUCAACUAAGGUAGAGUUAAU
rnacentral:lncRNA from 1 species